GGAAUCUUGCGCAAUGCACGAAAGUGUGACGCAGCAACGCCGCGUGCGGGAAGAAGGUCUUCGGAUCGUAAACCGCUUUCAGUUGGGACGAGGGUUGCACGGUGAAUAGCCUGCGUAACUGACGGUACCUUACGAAGAAGCCCCGGCUAACUACGUGCCAGCAGCCGCGGUAAUACGUAGGGGGCAAGCGUUAUCCGGAAUCAUUGGGCGUAAAGCGCGUGUAGGCGGUUCAGUAAGUCCGCUCUGAAAGCCCAGGGCUCAACCCUGGGAGGCGAGUGGAUACUACGGGACUAGAGUACGGAAGAGGAGAUUGGAAUUCCUGGUGUAGCGGUGAAAUGCGCAGAUAUCAGGAGGAACACCAACAGCGAAGGCAGAUCUCUGGGACGUAACUGACGCUGAGACGCGAAAGCGUGGGGAGCAAACA
rnacentral:rRNA from 1 species